GAUGAAGAACGUAGUGAAAUGCGAUAAGUAAUGUGAAUUGCAGAAUUCAGUGAAUCAUCGAAUCUUUGAACGCACCUUGCACUCCUUGGUAUUCCGAGGAGUACGCCUGUUCGAGUGUUAUGAAGCUCUCAAAACGCAAUUGGCUUAAAACCUGAUUGUUGUUUUGGAUUUGAACUUUGCCGUGUUAUAACGGCUGGUUUUAAAAGUAUUAGCUGGUACUAGAACGAAUUGGUUCUACUCAACGUGAUAAUUAUCUGAUCGUUGAGGACAUUCCUUUCACGAGGAAUGGCUAUAGUAAAUUCAAUGGACUGCUUCUAAUCUGGCUUUAAUUCUUUAUUGGAUUAACCACUUUUCAAAUCUGACCUCGAAUCAGGUGGGACUACCCGCUGAACUUAAGCAUAUCAAUAAGCGGAGGA
rnacentral:misc_RNA from 1 species